rnacentral:lncRNA from 1 species
GUGAAUAUAAUCUCCCAGGAAAUAUUCAGUAAGAUGGACUGUGUGACUAAAGGUUAAAUGAUUUUUCCAACAGAUAUUCAAUGGCAUUAGAAGUAACUCACCCCAGCUAGGGAAACUGUGUAGCAGUGUGAAUGUAAGCGAGGAGAUCAAAUCUUCAGGACACAAAAUGAGAGUCGUGUUUUUCACUGAUGGAUCCAGGCCAUAUGGAGGUUUCAGUGCUUCCUACACAUCCAGUGAAGAUGCAGGUAAGAGAAGACGUUAUAAAUACACCUGUUUCAAUCAUGGGCACCGUAGAUGUUCGCACAGCUACCACCAAUAGCCACCGAGCCGUCUAUUUUCCCUUUCGAGAUCAAAAUUACACCUAAGAGCUUCUACAGCAGGAAACACAUAUAACCAGGUAGAAAACCCAUGCCAGGCAGAAAAAAAAAAAAGUUAUACUUUCAGAAAGAAAGCUGCCAUUGUGAAUUAAAAAACAAUGCUGUUAGGAGAGCUUCUAGCUCAAUCCCGUAUAAUGUCGCCAUGAAAUACUGGUUGCCUAUUUCACAGUCCUUGGUCAAUUAUUUUCUGCUGAAAGUGACCUUCUAUCUCUAAAAAGGUAACUGACUCCCAGAAAGUGACUAAUUGAAGAUAGACAGAUUUUAUGGUUUCUUAGCCAGCCAUCUGUACAUAUAUUUCCAGUGUAAAUGAAUGAGGGUUCACACUGGAUACAGAGUAUUGAAAAUUUAUGCAAGAUACGGCCUUUCCAGUCUAAAUAUUCGCCUACUUUCUGGAUUGGUGCUAUUAUCUAAGAGUUUUAAAUAGUAGAAAGAGUUGGAACUGAAUGUUUAAAAAAUCUUUGUUUCAUUGAUAGGAACAUUCAUUCCCAUAUGAAAAGGAGCGAAUUCAUUGGCACUCCCAUGAUGUUAUUUGUUUGAUGAAAUAACAAGGCUCAAGUGGAGAAUUGCUAAUGAGAAGCCACUGAGACCACCACUGUAGUUAGAUAUUUCUCCAAAUUAAAUAUUAAUGAACAAUAGGCUUAAAUUAGGAGAAACAGAUGCCCAGCCAAACCCACAAACCCACCUAAUCUACCCUACAGGAAAAUAAAGAAGCUGUUUAGUUUUACACAUAUUUCCAAACUCUCAGAAACGUCUUCCAUAGAAAUUCACACAAACUUCCAUAGACACUCACAGAAACUCACAGAAACUUCUUCAUGCAUGAGCCAGCCCUUCACCCACAAUCUUAACGUCAUCUACAAAAACAAAGCAAUAAAAAUCUUCUUGUUAUUUUCGUUGUUAUUGUAUUAUUUGCAUCUUCUGUUAUGGCCUGGACCUCACUGCUACUUUCUCUGUUGCCCCUUGUUUUCUUAGUAUGUGGUGGGUCCCUUACAAAUUCCGCCAAAGGAAACUUCACUUCCCCUGGCUAUGACGGAGUCAGUAAUUACUCAAGAAACUUAAAUUGUGAAUGGACUCUCAGCAAUCCAAAUCAGGGAAAUUCAUCCAUUUACAUUCAUUUUGAAGAUUUUUACCUGGAAAGUCACCAAGACUGUCAGUUUGAUGUCCUUGAGCUACGAGUGGGUGAGUUCAAUCAAAGAGCAUGUU